CAGGCCUUCAAGCCUUCCUUUCUUGAAGAACCGGAGCGAGCUCGUGUGGCGCGUUUCCUGACUCACCGCUGUUCGCUUUUCAACUAUUUCCACGAAUAAGUCGGUCAGGAAUUAGUAACCAUGGCAUUCAAAGACACUGGUAAGGCUCCUGUUGAGGCCGAGGUCGCAAUUCACCGUAUCCGCAUCACUCUGACCAGCCGCAAUGUCAAAUCUCUGGAAAAAGUGUGUGCCGAUUUGAUCCGAGGUGCCAAGGAGAA